rnacentral:lncRNA from 1 species
UCAGUUUUUUCAACUCUGUGACACAGCGAUGACCUCUGCUCCCUCAGGUCCCAGGAAAAGCAGCAGCUGACUCUUCCUCUUAGUGAGCCACUGUGAUCCACACCAAGCCACUUGCCACUCUCAUGAUUCCCAAGGUGAGGGGGAAAUGGUAGCAGGAAGGGCCAAAACUCUGCAUGGAUGGAUACAUUUUUGCUUAGAUUCUGGUACUCUCCUAGCUAGGUAAACUUGAGAUUUUCUUUGGGCCUUACUUUCCUACCAUAAAAGGCCAGACUCAAACUGGCAUAUUUCCAUGCAUUUUCCAUAUCUAGAGUUGCACAAUGGAGUGUAUUUACUUAAACUUAACAAACACUUGCUGAAUACCUGCUAAGUGCAGAGCAUUGUGUUCUUUGCUGUGGACAGAAAAAGAAAUGAAUAAAUAGAAGCCAUGGUCACAGCCACAAGGAAUUUUUAUCUAGGAUGGCGGGCAACUGGUGCUCCUUCUCUCCUGUUUGCAUUAAAGAGCUGGGUCUGCUCCUGAAGAGAGAGACACGGCUUGGUGCAGCACUCCCUGCAGCAGAGAAGAAGAGCCUGCCUAACUCUAUGGUGCUGUGCUGACAUGCUGGCUUGCCCAUAGAUGUGUUGUCACAUCCUACCAUAACAUCUUUAUUGGUGAUAAAUGCCAUAUUGUGGCCUCCAACCUGCCUAACUCCAUCUCCUGUCUUAAUUUCUUCGUAACACAAGUGAGAGAAAAAAAGGUGUUAAUUACUGAGUAUCCUUGAUUUCCAACAUUCAAGAAGCUGUUGACUACCCCAAGGGGCCUCUGGUUUCCCUGCCCAAAUAGAUGGGUUUAUUAAACUGAUUCAUCUGCAUUGCCUUCUUUCCUUACUCCUGAUGGUGUCAUGCAUUUUUCAGGGUGACUAUGUGCUAGUGGAACAAAUUCCCACUUUGACUCUGAAUAUUUUAAAGCUGAGUCAAUGAGAGAAUUUAAUUUAAUCAUCAUUUCAUCCUUUGCCUGUGAAAUAAUCCAUAAAAACAUGUCAAUAAAUACUCUCA